GGUGCCCUGGGCGCUCACUCCUCAGAGCUCUGCGUGCUGACAUAAUCCUGCAGGAGCGCCUGCACUUCUGCCCUCCGGCUCAUCUUGGUGGCCUUGCCCUGGAAACGGCCCUUCUUCCCCGCACCUUUGCCUUCCAAGACCUCAGCCACCCUGGAGAACAAUGGAAAUAUAGUCAGCGAGACGGUCUCUGAGGGAAAGCCACAAAAAAACAAGGGCAGUUACGAGGAGUGCCUCCUGGAGUCUGGGGAUGAAACAAAUAAACUGACUUAAAUAGUUUCAAAGACACAGAGAGAGGUGUAGAGACCUGCAGCACCAUGAGUUCCACAGACAGCACCAGGGCAAACGAGAACCUGAUGGGCCCGGGAUGAUCCAUGUCUCCGUGAGGAAGAGUAAGCUGGGCAAAGGAGAUCCCAAGCUAAAAGGCCAAAGGCCAUCAUACGCAUUCUCCCUGCAAGCCUGCUGGGAGGAGCACAAGAAGUACCCAAUAGUCCAUCUCCUGCAGUUUUCCAAGAAGUGCUCAGAGAGGUGGAAGACCAUGUCUGCUAAA